GGGGGCGAUUUGGGUUCGACGGGGGUAGUGGAGUGUGAGUUGCGUGUCGAGAUUGCCAUGAGCUCGUAAAAACUGUGGCAAAUCAAGAAGUGUCGACGAACCUGUCGCACUGGCUGCUUAAUAGAUAGCAGCUCGUCCCCGUCGGUCGGGUUUCCGGGGCCGGCGAGUGGGCGUCAUACACUGGGGACUAGUCAGGGGUGAGUGCCCUGGCAUUCCUGACGAAAUCUAAGGGUGGGUCCUCCGUUGAUCCUGUCUGUGGGGAGCACGGAGGACGGGAUCAAAACCACGGACUACACACGUAGAGACUCACAUGGAUCUAUCUUCGGACGCGGGUUCGAUUCCCGCCGCCUCCACCA
rnacentral:tmRNA from 1 species